rnacentral:misc_RNA from 1 species
GCGAACUGUAUAGAGGGAAAAUCCCGACGCUAAAUGUAAAGGUCAGAACAUAUCCUCUCUGCUUCAUAUAGAAUAAUUGAUCACAUGACAUGCUUAGUUAGAACUAAUAAUGAAUCAAUGUAAGAUGCCAAUCAUCUCCGCAUCUCGGCUCAUGUAUCUUAUAAACUUGAAAGUGCCUUUUCUAGUGCACUAAUUGUCAAUAAAG